rnacentral:rRNA from 1 species
GUUUCCUACGGGAGGCAGCAGUGAGGAAUAUUGGUCAAUGGUCGGGAGACUGAACCAGGCAAGCCGCGUGAGGGAUGAAGGUACAGAGUAUCGUAAACCUCUUUUGUCAGGGAACAAAGGCGGGGACGCGUCCCCGGAUGAGUGUACCUGAAGAAAAAGCAUCGGCUAACUCCGUGCCAGCAGCCGCGGUAAUACGGAGGAUGCGAGCGUUAUCCGGAUUUACUGGGUGUAAAGGGAGCGUAGACGGCUGUGCAAGUCUGAAGUGAAAGCCCGUGGCUCAACCGCGGCACUGCUUUGGAAACUGU